rnacentral:rRNA from 1 species
ACGCUCGACACCUACGGAGGCAGCAGUGAGGAAUAUUGGUCAAUGGGCGCAGGCCUGAACCAGCCAAGUAGCGUGAAGGAUGACUGCCCUAUGGGUUGUAAACUUCUUUUAUAUGGGAAUAAAGUUUUCCACGUGUGGAAUUUUGUAUGUACCAUAUGAAUAAGGAUCGGCUAACUCCGUGCUAGCACGCCGGCGGUAAUCUGAGGCGGGCUGGCAAGGC